rnacentral:rRNA from 1 species
AACGAACGCUGGCGGCAUGCCUAACACAUGCAAGUCGAACGAAGGCUUCGGCCUUAGUGGCGCACGGGUGCGUAACGCGUGGGAAUCUGCCCUUGGGUUCGGAAUAACAGUUAGAAAUGACUGCUAAUACCGGAUGAUGUCGUAAGACCAAAGAUUUAUCGCCCAAGGAUGAGCCCGCGUAGGAUUAGCUAGUUGGUGGGGUAAAGGCCUACCAAGGCGACGAUCCUUAGCUGGUCUGAGAGGAUGAUCAGCCACACUGGGACUGAGACACGGCCCAGACUCCUACGGGAGGCAGCAGUGGGGAAUAUUGGACAAUGGGCGAAAGCCUGAUCCAGCAAUGCCGCGUGAGUGAUGAAGGCCUUAGGGUUGUAAAGCUCUUUUACCCGGGAUGAUAAUGACAGUACCGGGAGAAAAAGCUCCGGCUAACUUCGUG